CCAGGGCGACUAGAUGUCCAAGUUUAGUUGACUUUGGAAUUUGAUUCCUGCCAUGUGAUUGAUCUCUGGCCCAUGCACAAAGACCUCCAGACCCAGCCCUGCUUAGCUCCUUUCUUUCUUAUUCUUCCAUUGCAAAUCUGCAGGACCCAUGUUCCCAGUGGCAGUCCUAUAAGACAGGGAGGAGCUCUGACCUGCCCCACACUUAAGCACCAACAAUAGUGCUAAAUUUACAGCAGCCAUUCCUCUCAAAAAUAUUUUAGGACUCGUGGGUUAUGAAAAUGAUGAAAAUUCCAGGCUAAGAGAGAGAAAUGGAAAACCCCAUUAUUCUGGGAAAUUGAAGCAACUCCAAGAAAACCAUUUAGGGGAAGUCCUCAUGACGGUCCUCCACAGUCAAAGAUAGACACAGCCCAAAUGUCCAUCUGCCAUCUGCAGGUGGGCAGAUGAACAGAACGUGGUUUAUUCACCAAAGAAAAGGAAUGAAUGGAUCUAUGUAACAACACGAAGGUGUCUUAAAAACAUGACAAUGAAUGCGGGAUGAAAGAAAUUAGAGACAUGAAACACAUACAUAGGAUUCCAUGUAUAUGCAAUUCUAGAAGGGAGAAUUGAAUCUGUGGUUACAGAAAAUGGACUGUCAGCUUCCUGGGAUGGAAGAUUGAGAAAAUGAACUGCAGUGGAGCACAGGGAAGAUGUUUAGGGUGAUUUAUAGAUAUAAUUAGCCAAAACUC